AAAAAAUUGAACGACGGCAAACUACAACCGGGAAGGGAAAUGGCAAGCUCCUCUUGUGAAGUAGCGGCAAUUACAGAGGGAGUGGAGAGUAGAGAAGACCUAAAGUCGAUGCUACCAUUCUUGCCUCUUGUAAUUCGAUCGUCAAGCCUGGUCUGGCCGUCACGAGUUGUGGAGGUGCUCAAGGCACUCUCUAAAGGACCAGAUUACAGCAAUAUUAACUCUGGAGAAUCACUAUUCACAGCCAUUUCCGAUAUCAGAAAUUCUCUGUAUCUCUCUGCUGAACCUCUCGCUCCUUUUGCCCAAGAAGGUUAUUCCCUCUUCUUUGAUGAGCUGAUGUCCAGAGCUGAGUCCACGAAAUGGUUUGGAGAGAUUCUCCCAGCGAUGGCUAAUUUGCUCUUGAGGAUGCCAUCGCUGCUAGAGUCUCACUAUGAAAAUGCGGAUAAAUUGCUUGAUGGAGUUAAAACUGGUGUCAAAACUGGUCUCCGCGUGUUGGGUCCUCAAGUAGCUGGCAUAGUGUUCCUCAGCCAGGAAUUGAUUAGUGCUCUUCUAGCAUGCGCUUUCUUUUGUUUGUUUCCGGUCACUAAUAGAGGUGCAAAACAUCUUCCAACAAUCAAUCUCGAUCAUUUGUUUGAGAAUCUAUGUGAAAGCUAUAGCAAAAAUCAGGAAAACAAAAUAAUGUGCAUUGUACACUAUUUUGAAAGGAUAUGUUCAUGUGCACCUGUGGGCUUUGUCUCAUUUGAGAGAAAGGUUCUUCCUUUGGAACAAAUUCCUCCAUGUAUUUCCUAUCCUGACGCUGAUUUUUGGAGCAAAUCUGUGGCACCCCUUUGCUCUUUUGAGGUUCACAAUUCAGGCUUCAUAGAAGAUCAAUCCAAUGGAGCUCUUGAAGUGGAUUUUGCUAACAAGUACCUUGGCGGUGGUGCUCUCCAUAGGGGCUGUGUACAGGAAGAGAUCCGUUUCAUGAUCAAUCCUGAAUUAAUUGCUGGCAUGCUUUUCUUGCCUCACAUGGAAGACAAUGAAGCCAUAGAAAUUGUUGGUGCAGAAAGAUUCUCUAAUUACACUGGGUAUGCCUCUUCAUUUCGCUUUUCUGGUGAUCAUGUGGACAGAAGGAACGUUGAUAGUUUUGGAAGACAUAAAACUAGGAUUGUUGCCAUAGAUGCAUUAAGCAAUCCAGGGAUGAGACAGUACAAAAUUAACUACCUCCUUCGGGAGAUCAAUAAGGCAUUUUGUGGCUUUUCUGAUCUAGCCAAAUAUGAUCAUUACAAAAGAUUAUUUCAGAACAGUGGUCCUCAAGGAGCAGAUUCUGAAGAACAUUAUAAAUAUGGGAAUGUUUUAUCCAUGAAUAACUUUCUGGUGAGGGGUAGUAACGAUCUCGUUGAGGAUUCUGGCGAGAAGAGCACUUGGUGUCUAGACCAUAAAGAUAAAAUUGGAAUUGCAACCGGGAAUUGGGGCUGUGGUGCUUUUGGAGGAGAUCCUGAACUAAAGACCAUAAUUCAGUGGCUUGCAGCUUCUCAGGUAAUUUAUUCUAGGACUUGGGCAUUGAAACUAAGUAAAAAUGUUGCAAUAACAACUCCUUGGUUUCUUAGAAGGUAUGCUUUACCAAACCCAAUCAUUAGUUUUGUGAUUUUCCAUGUGCAAACAUUUGCAUGAGAGACCAAACUGUUUUCUAGGCUAUAAUGUUCAUUGCUGAAAUGAAAUUCAUUAAUAUCCGUACCUCUGUUAAAAGAACAGACUUCUUGCUUAUUUCUUGUUUUAGUUUGAUACUGCACUUUCCAUGAACCUGAAUGCAUUUCUUUCAGGCAUUAAGACCUUCCAUUUUCUACUACACCUUUGGCAUUGAGGCGCUGAGUAACCUGGAUCAGGUAAUUGCAUUAUUCUUUCCACGGUGAAAACUUUUUGGUGGAUAAUAGAUUUGUAAUUCCAAGCAAUGCAUCUUUGGCAGGCUAAAGAGUAUAAGAGCUAACAUGUUUGGUGAUUACUGAUUCUGACUUGAAAAAUUUUCCUGGAUGUUGGCCAUCACAAUACACUGCUUUCUUUGAGCUAGUUUGUGAUUGAGGUUCAAAUAUUUUUCUUUGGAAAACCACAAUCCUAUUGGAAAAAGCGGUUUAAUAUUGUCAUUUAGCUGUUUUAGAGUUCUUAUAACUAAAAAAUGCUAUAUUUAAUUUAAAAACAAAUAUUAAUAGCUGCUAAUUAACAUAUUCAAAGUGGCGUUUUUCUCUAAUUUUUUUUUAAAAAGAAAGGUGAUGUUUUUCUUGAAAGCAACUUAAGCAAUUGCACUACAUAUACCUUGGUGGUUUAUAAGCCAUUGAUUGUUCUGACCAUCUGUUAAAUUUAUGUUUCUUGCUACAACACCAUCAAUUUCAUUUGACAAUUUGGGACAGGUAAGCCAAUGGAUUCAGUCACAUGAAUGGACAGUUGGAGAUCUGUGGAAUAUGUUGGUGGAGUACUCAUCUAAGAGAUUUAACAGAGAAACUAACGUAGGCUUCUUUACAUGGCUGCUUCCAUCGCUUUGCUGAGACAUAAAGAAUUCUUGUAUGGUUUUCCUUUUGAUUGUGUUGGUAGGCCAUUUAUUCUUUCUUGUUGAUAGCUGCAUGUGCAAGGCACGUGUGUAGCGUUGACAACUUAAAAAGUAUAUGUUUAUUGUAGUCUAAUUGUUUUUUCAUGUAAAUUAUUAUGAAAUUUUAGAAGUUUAUAUAAUAAAAAUAAGAAUAGUUUGUGUGCAUCCAGGGGGGGG
rnacentral:misc_RNA from 1 species